GUGGUGGGGUCCCCCCUGCUGACCGCAGGUGCUCUGACGAGGUUGCACUACUGUGCUCUGAGAAGCAGUGCAAUGAUAUUGUCAAAGCAUCUGGGACCAGCCUUGGGGAUCUCCCUCC
rnacentral:pre_miRNA from 8 species